rnacentral:rRNA from 1 species
AUGGAGAGCAAGAGCAAUUCGCUCUUGGUGGUCGCUGGGCUCCUCCUGGCAGCUGCUGUGGACGCCGGAGAAGGGUGCGCGGCGUGGCGGAGGCUGGAGAACACGGUGGAGCCGGAGCUGGACUACCAGGUCCGAAGCCUUGCUCUAUCUCCUGGUGAUAUCAGGCCGGACGUGUACAAGCCAAACAAGCCGGUGUGCAUCCCGGGUCAAGGCUGUGCUAAACCUGGAGAGCGCUACACACCUCAUUCCGGCUAUGAGUGUAGACACUACAACAGAGAAGCGGGCUGCUAG